GCACCCAUAGCUCAAUUGGAUAGAGUACUUGACUACGAAUCAAGCGGUUGCAAGUUCGACUCUUGCUGGGUGCA
rnacentral:tRNA from 1 species